GACGAACGCUGGCGGCGUGCUUAACACGUGCAAGUCGAACGGUGAAGGGGUCUGCUUUUGUGGGCCCUGGAUGAGUGGCGAACGGGUGAGUAACACGUGAGUAACCUGCCCCCUUCUUCUGGAUAACCGCAUGAAAGUGUGGCUAAUACGGGAUAUUCUGGGUCUGUCGCAUGAUGGGUCUGGGAAAGAUUGCGCCUUUGGGUGUUUUUGGUGGGGGAUGGGCUCGCGGCCUAUCAGCUUGUUGGUGGGGUGAUGGCCUACCAAGGCGGUGACGGGUAGCCGGCCUGAGAGGGUGGACGGUCACACUGGGACUGAGACACGGCCCAGACUCCUACGGGAGGCAGCAGUGGGGAAUAUUGCACAAUGGGCGCAAGCCUGAUGCAGCGACGCCGCGUGAGGGAUGGAGGCCUUCGGGUUGUAAACCUCUUUCGCCAGUGAAGCAGGCCUGCUCCUUGUGGGUGGGUUGACGGUAGCUGGAUAAGAAGCGCCGGCUAACUACGUG
rnacentral:rRNA from 1 species